UACGGGGGGGGCAAGCGUUGUUCGGAAUUACUGGGCGUAAAGGGCUCGUAGGCGGCCAACUAAGUCAGACGUGAAAUCCCUCGGCUCAACCAAGGAAGUGCAUCCGAAACUGACGAGCUUGAGUACUUAAGAGGAUCGCGGAAUUCCCGGUGUAGAGGUGAAAUUCGUAGAUAUCGGGAGGAACACCGGUGGCGAAGGCGGCGACCUGGGUCGAGACUGACGCUGAGGCGCGAAAGCGUGGGGAGCAAACAGG
rnacentral:rRNA from 1 species